CCUACGGGGGGCUGCAGUGGGGAAUAUUGCACAAUGGGCGCAAGCCUGUUGCAGCCAUGCCGCGUGUGUGAAGAAGGCCUUCGGGUUGUAAAGCACUUUCAGCGGGGAGGAAGGCGGUGAGGUUAAUAACCUCAUCGAUUGACGUUACCCGCAGAAGAAGCACCGGCUAACUCCGUGCCAGCAGCCGCGGUAAUACGGAGGGUGCAAGCGUUAAUCGGAAUUACUGGGCGUAAAGCGCACGCAGGCGGUCUGUCAAGUCGGAUGUGAAAUCCCCGGGCUCAACCUGGGAACUGCAUUCGAAACUGGCAGGCUAGAGUCUUGUAGAGGGGGGUAGAAUUCCAGGUGUAGCGGUGAAAUGCGUAGAGAUCUGGAGGAAUACCGGUGGCGAAGGCGGCCCCCUGGACAAAGACUGACGCUCAGGUGCGAAAGCGUGGGGAGCAAACAGGAUUAGAUACCCGUGUAGUC
rnacentral:rRNA from 1 species